UCCCACCUACGGGGGGCAGCAGUGGGGAAUAUUGGGCAAUGGGCGCAAGCCUGACCCAGCAACGCCGCGUGAAGGAAGAAGGCUUUCGGGUUGUAAACUUCUUUUAUCAGGGACGAAGCAAGUGACGGUACCUGAUGAAUAAGCCACGGCUAACUACGUGCCAGCAGCCGCGGUAAUACGUAGGUGGCAAGCGUUAUCCGGAUUUACUGGGUGUAAAGGGCGUGUAGGCGGGAGUGCAAGUCAGAUGUGAAAACUAUGGGC
rnacentral:rRNA from 1 species